UACGUAGGGUGCAAGCGUUUAUCCGGAAUUAUUGGGCGUAAAGAGCUCGUAGGCGGUUUGUCGCGUCUGCUGUGAAAACUGGAGGCUCAACCUCCAGCCUGCAGUGGGUACGGGCAGACUAGAGUGCGGUAGGGGAGAUUGGAAUUCCUGGUGUAGCGGUGGAAUGCGCAGAUAUCAGGAGGAACACCGAUGGCGAAGGCAGAUCUCUGGGCCGUAACUGACGCUGAGGAGCGAAAAGCAUGGGGGAGCGAACAGG
rnacentral:rRNA from 1 species